rnacentral:rRNA from 1 species
CCUACGGGAGGCAGCAGUGAGGAAUAUUGGUCAAUGGACGAGAGUCUGAACCAGCCAAGUAGCGUGAAGGAUGACUGCCCUAUGGGUUGUAAACUUCUUUUAUAUGGGAAUAAAAUGUUCCACGUGUGGGAUUUUGUAUGUACCAUAUGAAUAAGGAUCGGCUAACUCCGUGCCAGCAGCCGCGGUAAUACGGAGGAUCCGAGCGUUAUCCGGAUUUAUUGGGUUUAAAGGGAGCGUAGGUGGAUUGUUAAGUCAGUUGUGAAAGUUUGCGGCGCAACCGUAAAAUUGCAGUUGAAACUGGGAGUCUUGAGUACAGUAGAGGUGGGCGGAAUUCGUGGUGUAGCGGUGAAAUGCUUAGAUAUCACGAAGAACUCCGAUUGCGAAGGCAGCUCACUGGACUGCAACUGACACUGAGGCUCGAAAGUGUGGGUAUCAAACAGGAUUAGAUACCCCAGUAGUC